GGAUUUUGUCUGGAAGUCCUCUUUGAGCAAAGACAUGGAGUCCACAUGAGCAAAGACAUGGAGGAGAAAAACGGCAUGGCACGAAGGGAACUGCAGGAAGCCAAGCCCAGAGUCUGCUAAAAAUGUAGCUGUUUUGUUUAGGAGGGAAAAGCAAAGAGAAGAUGCGAUGAAGCCACAGAGCAGGAAGAGGCCUCGGUUGCUGUCCUGACCAGUCCUCUCACUUCACCAUCAAGGCCAUGAAACCCAGAGAAGGGAUGUGACUUGAGAUCCAGCCAGACCCAGAUCCAGAGUUGGGAGGGCAGGGGUGCUGCAAUAUGAUCACAGAAUCGACACUCGACCCCUCCCAGCGACCUGGCAAAGUGGGCACUAACUCCAUUCUGCAGAGGUGGAAACUGAGGCCAGUGUGGGGAAUGGAAAUUGACUGGGCUAAGCUUAGAAGCCUGAACUCUGACCCCAAAGCUCUCUCUUGUACCUUUGACCCCCUUGUCUUGUCCUGCAGCUCUUAAGGUUACAGUGAGCCAGUUUUUCAUUUUGCCUUUCUCCAAUGGAGGCACCUUGGAAAAUAGAGAUCUGGCUGGA
ensembl:lncRNA novel transcript